rnacentral:rRNA from 1 species
AGAGUUUGAUUAUGGCUCAGGAUGAACGCUGGCGGCGUGCCUAACACAUGCAAGUCGAGCGAUUACUUCGGUAAAGAGCGGCGGACGGGUGAGUAACGCGUGGGUAACCUGCCUCAUACACAUGGAUAACAUACCGAAAGGUAUGCUAAUACAGGAUAAUAUAAGAGAUUCACAUGGAUUUCUUAUCAAAGCUCCGGCGGUAUGAGAUGGACCCGCGUCUGAUUAGCUAGUUGGUAAGGUAAUGGCUUACCAAGGCGACGAUCAGUAGCCGACCUGAGAGGGUGAUCGGCCACAUUGGAACUGAGACACGGUCCAAACUCCUACGGGAGGCAGCAGUGGGGAAUAUUGCACAAUGGGCGAAAGCCUGAUGCAGCAACGCCGCGUGAGUGAUGAAGGCCUUCGGGUCGUAAAACUCUGUCCUCAAGGAAGAUAAUGACGGUACUUGAGGAGGAAGCCCCGGCUAACUACGUGCCAGCCGCCGC